CGCGACGUUCGGCCCGGGUCGGACACGCACCGCAUGUCGCUCCAACCGCCGGCCGAGCGCACCCGAACGCACUCCCGAUAAAUCAUACUCGAUCGCAGGGAAAUUAACAGUGGGAAAUGUUACUCGUAUCCAUUACCUUCCCUGUUUGAUGUGGAUUUGCACCAAUAUACCAGUGUUGAUAGAGUUACAGUAACCACAAGUGAAUACGAUCCAGUUAGAAACGAUACGAAAGUGACACGACGUUGGGAAACUCGCGCGGUUUUGAAAAAUAACAACUAGUGUGAACGUUAAUCUCGAAAGUGCAACUUCGGUGUUGGUUUGCUGCCUCGGACUGUCACAGAUCGUGUGAACGCGUCCGCAAACCCCGACUCGUUUGCGGCUUCGCGUAAACCGAGACGGUGUUGCAAAUACGACCCCAAAUUGUGCAAUGCUGAUUCCUUAAACAUGUACGUAAUGAGUAUGUUGAAUCAUCGAAUGUUGCGAACUGAUUACCAUAGUUAAGAGUCCCACGUCGGGCGCCAUUCGCUGCGUGUCGGUUGGAGAUUGACUGGUAAUUGAGUGGUGUAGAGCAGGGUCUGGUGCGGGGUAUGCGAGAGGGUGUUGUGCAGUGACGGCGC